rnacentral:rRNA from 1 species
UGGGGAAUCUUGCACAAUGGGGGCAACCCUGAUGCAGCGACGCCGCGUGAGCGAUGAAGGUUUUCGAAUCGUAAAGCUCUGUCCUAUGGGAAGAUAAUGACGGUACCAUAGGAGGAAGCCCCGGCUAACUACGUGCCAGCAGCCGCGGUAAUACGUAGGGGGCGAGCGUUGUCCGGAAUUACUGGGCGUAAAGGGUUCGCAGGCGGCAUGGCAAGUCCGAUGUAAAAGGCGAAGGCUCAACCUUCGUAAGCAUCGGAAACUGUCAAGCUUGAGUGAAGGAGAGGCAAGUGGAAUUCCUAGUGGAGCGGUGGAAUGCGUAGAUAUUAGGAGGAAUACCGGUGGCGAAGGCGACUUGCUGGACUUCAACUGACGCUGAGGAACGAAAGCGUGGGUAGCAAACAGG